rnacentral:rRNA from 1 species
AUUGAACGCUGGCGGCAGGCCUAACACAUGCAAGUCGAACGAGUGGCGGACGGGUGAGUAAUGUCUGGGAAACUGCCUGAUGGAGGGGGAUAACUACUGGAAACGGUAGCUAAUACCGCAUACCAUCGGAUGUGCCCAGAUGGGUUUCGCUAGUAGGUGGGGUAACGGCUCCCCUAGGCCGCGCUCCCUAGCUGGUCUGAGAGGAUGACCGGCGAAACUGGAAAGAGGACACGGUCCAGACUCCUAGGGGAGGCGGAAGUGGGAAAUAUUGCACAAUGGGCGCAAGCCUGAUGCAGCAAUGCCGCGUGUAUGAAGAAGGCCUUCGGGUUGUAAAGUACUUUCAGCGGGGAGGCGUUACCCGCAGAAGAGGCACCGGCUAACUCCGUGCCAGCAGCCGCGGUAAUAC